AGCGAACGCUGGCGGCAGGCUUAACACAUGCAAGUCGAACGCCCGGGCAACCGGGAGUGGCAGACGGGUGAGUAACACGUGGGAACGUACCCUUUGGUUCGGAAUAACUCAGGGAAACUUGAGCUAAUACCGGAUAAGCCCUUUUGGGGAAAGAUUUAUCGCCGAAGGAUCGGCCCGCGUCCGAUUAGCUAGUUGGUGAGGUAACGGCUCACCAAGGCGACGAUCGGUAGCUGGUCUGAGAGGAUGAUCAGCCACACUGGGACUGAGACACGGCCCAGACUCCUACGGGAGGCAGCAGUAGGGAAUCUUGCGCAAUGGGCGAAAGCCUGACGCAGCCAUGCCGCGUGAAUGAUGAAGGUCUUAGGAUUGUAAAAUUCUUUCACCGGGGACGAUAAUGACGGUACCCGGAGAAGAAGCCCCGGCUAACUUCGUGCCAGCAGCCGCGGUAAUAC
rnacentral:rRNA from 1 species